AACUAAAGGUCCAGAGAAGAAUUAAACAAAAUGACCCAGUGGAGAAAUUGGAAGAAUACCCUGUCAAAAGGAGCCUUAAAAUCUGAGAACAGGAGUGUUUGCUCAGGCAGAUCUGAUGGGAAGAACCCAGGCCAGAGAGGUGCAGUCUGGACCAGGAAAGCUGGAACAUUUUCCUGUGAGGAGAGCCCAGACAUGAGGAGAAAGGAGUCUGAUAAUUUGUGGCCAACUUGACCAGUCAGCUUUAGUCAGCUCGGAGCCCAGGCUUUCAUUCACCAUGGGCAUAAGUGCUCUCUGACCUGGAAAUGGAAAAUUCAAUCCAGGCCCUGGUCAGUGUGAGAGAAACAAUGCGUAGGACAUGGUCUUUCCCUCACAGGACUUGCAGCCCAGUGGGAGUGAUCUACAUACAGAAGCUGACUACAUCGAAGUGAUGGGCUUUAUCAGGAAAGGAUGAGCAAACGGCUGUGGAGCCAGCUACUGCACCAGGAACCAGUGUGACUGUUAAAGUGCCCCAGGGCCACAGGCCAGCCCUCGUCCCUGGAAUGACUGCCUCUGUAGCAGCUGCAGUGCUGCGGUUUCUCUGGGGUAGCAACAGUCAGAAAGCAAGAUGAAGUCAGGCCCGGCAACCCCAGUGUUGUGGUUAACAGGUGUUGAAGCAAUAUGAAGAAAAUGUAAGAUCAAGCCACAGCCGGGGUUUGAG